rnacentral:rRNA from 1 species
GAUCAUGGCUCAGAUUGAACGCUGGCGGCAUGCCUUACACAUGCAAGGUCGAACGGCAGCACGGGGCAACCUGGUGGCGAGUGGCGAACGGGUGAGUAAUGCAUCGGAACGUGCCAUUGAGUGGGGGGUAACGUAGCGAAAGUUACGCUAAUACCGCAUAUUCUGUGAGCAGGAAAGCAGGGGAUCGCAAGACCUUGCGCUCUUUGAGCGGCCGAUGUCAGAUUAGCUAGUUGGUGAGGUAACGGCUUACCAAGGCGACGAUCUGUAGCGGGUCUGAGAGGAUGAUCCGCCACACUGGAACUGAGACACGGUCCAGACUCCUACGGGAGGCAGCAGUGGGGAAUUUUGGACAAUGGGGGCAACCCUGAUCCAGCCAUGCCGCGUGAGUGAAGAAGGCCUUCGGGUUGUAAAGCUCUUUCGGCCGGGAAGAAAUCGCAUGGGUUAAUACCCUGUGUGGAUGACGGUACCGGCAUAAGAAGCACCGGCUAACUACGUG